rnacentral:tRNA from 1 species
UCCUCGAUAGUAAAGUGGUUAGUAUCCCCGCCUGUCACGCGGGAGACCGGGGUUCAAUUCCCCGUCGGGGAG